rnacentral:misc_RNA from 1 species
AACCAUUCUCACCUGCGGCUAGACCUGCGGAAGGAUCAUUACCGAGUGCGGGUCCGCGUGGCCCAACCUCCCACCCGUGCCUAUUGUACCCUGUUGCUUCGGCGGGCCCGCCAGCCUUCGGGCUGGCCGCCGGGGGGCGUCUCGCCCCCGGGCCCGUGCCCGCCGGAGACCCCAACAUGAACCCUGUUCUGAAAGCUUGGUGUCUGAGUGUGAUUGUUUGCAAUCAGUUAAAACUUUUAA